CCAGCAGAAGCAAGCACGUACUCUGUGUUGUCCCUUUAAACAACAUUCAAAGAAGUAAUUAAUACAAGCCAGUGGCUGGCUCCCAGGAGCCAGGAUUCCUGGCUCCCAUGGCCAGCCUUGCCAGUCACCUCGUAGUUUUGGCUUUGCCUGGGCCACAGGAUCUCCGUGUUUCUUUUUCCCUGCUAUUGCAGCAUGUGGCAAAGGGAAGGGACUUCUUCCACGAGACGUCUGCCCUCUUUGAGAAGAGCAGCAAAGGACCAACUCAGCUUGGCACUAGCCAACAAAGACAGGGAGAGCAUAACACCCGUGUCAGGUACAGAGGCUGCCUGCUAAAGUGCUUGGAGCAUAGAUCCUCAGGAAUUAAGUCCUCAGGGAAGUGGCCGGUGUUGCCCACCUGUUUCCUCCCAGCCACCCUGCAGUGCUCUGCCUCCACAGGGCUGCUCUGCCGGGCGGUGAAAGGCAGAGCUCAGGCAUCUGUCUCCACACAGUACCUGAGCCAAACACCUAAGCAACACCCGAGUCCCUCAACCCGACUCACCCCACUACCAGCAUCUGCGCUGCCUACCCUCCUGCCUGGGCCCUCCUGCAGCCUGGGGGAGAUGCUGGAUCUCUGCAGGGGUCUCAGCCCAUGCACCCUCCCUGCCAAAGAACAUGCCCUUCCCGGACCUCCCACCCCUGCCAGGUUUGGCAGCCACAGAGGAAAGAACCUUCCCUCCUCUGUGUGAGAGAAGGGACUUCAGAAAGGCUUGGCAGCCGAGAAGCCAGAGCGGCUCCCUGACGUCCCCUUCCAGAGUUAAGGUAAGCUGUUUUGGCAAAGGGGACCCCUUCCUGAGCUGCUGACAUCUAUGGAUCUCACCUGUAAGUCUUUGGGUUUUCCUGUGUGUCUGUCAAGUGAAACCAGUCACAGAUGGAUUUUAAGCCCUGGAUGCUCCCUCACCAUGUCUGCCCCAGAGCCUGUCUCCACAUUUGUGCUGCUGAUUGACAGCCUGCUGGGGCCUCUGCACCUCAUCCAGGAGUUAAUAUUUUAUCUAGAGGUCCAGGGAAACUCUGGAAAUUGUGCUAGCCUUGAAAUGCCAAAGGUGACUUUAAAAUGUUUCCUUCUGGACUCUGAAAUGUUGCUAGCAGAAAUGUAUUCUCUGAUAAGGAGAUGGCUCUGGGGCCAGGCUAACAGCUGGGGAGAUUAUGGGAAUCAGCGCCACGACUCCCCGUAUCACUUUCAUCUGCCUUUCCCAAAGCCCACCUUUAUGGAGACCAAGUGCAUUGCUCUUCUAGCUCUAGGGAGCUGAAGUAAGAGCAGCUCUCCAGCAGAGGAAAAUGUGCUCAUCCUGGAAAGGUUUCUUUGUUCUCGAUGCACAGGAUCAUUUUUCUACUGUGCAGCAGAUUUAUGUGGGGAAUAGCAUGGCACAGGGAAUAAUAACUCCAGUUUGUUUAAUAAUUAACUCCCGUGGGCUCCUGGUGUCAGACAUUCCAGCAGACACGGUGAGGCAGUCAGGCUGCGCUGGCUGCAGAGCUAAGCAAGAGGCAGGCGGCAAGGAAACCCUGAUUCCUCGUUCUUCUCACUGACUCCACGCCCUGACCUGCCGGUGGUUGGGUCUUCCCCAUCUGCAGCACGCUGUCCCAACAGCUCUGGGAACCUGCAGACUCUGCACACUCCCAGUAUAUCCCAUAUGUGGUCCUUCCAGCUCCCCGCCGUCAGGAAUGUGGCUACUCCUGGAAACCAUCUGCUCAGGGAGACAGCUGGGCUUUUACCGAGGGCACAAUCUGCACUCGGCGCUGUAGUCCCUCACGUGUGGUUGGGAUGUCCUGAGCAGCACCAUCAGGGCGAGCACCUCCCCACAGCAGGCUCCCAGGGUUUCACAACCUCAGCGCUGGAGGCAGACCAGCAAAUGUGGGAGGGACUUUGCUUUACACAAUUCCCACUUAUUCCCAGUCGUCAGGCAUUCAAACCAAGCUUCGGAUACACCCCGAUCCUCACAUCCUCCCUACCUACCCCACAUGAGUUUCCUUUCUGAGACUCCCCUGCCCUCUGCACUCGUCAGGCCACGAGUCCUGCUGACGGCUUGUGCCAGGUGAUUGCUGCUCCGCGUCCCUGGAGGCUGCCAGCCAAGCUUCGCUGCCCUGCUAGCCCAACGCUCUCAAAUGACCUUCAAGAGUCUGCAAGGUGAAAAGACACCAGCAGAUUGAAGCUGGUUAUUCAGCAUCCAGAGAUUAGAGCAAAUGAGAGAAAACAAAGCUGGUUUGUCUUCUGCAAGACACCAUUGUCUAAAAGUCAGAUCUGCAAGCCCCAGAGAAGAAGCUAAGAAGAGCCAAGGGCCAAGGUAACUCAGACUCAGGGCACUGAUGGACUCCUGGCUGGGCAACCAAGGGAGAGGAUGAGAGCCAGUGAGAGAUGGGAGAACAUUAUUCCAGGCCCCAUCUAACUGGGUACCAAAGCAUGGAACCCAAUCAGCACCCUAUCUUCUCUCCUACAGUCAGUCCAGGGAAAUUCGGUAUGCUGGCACCAUCUUUGAUUCACAGGAGAGACAACAGUCCAAACCAGGGACAAACUUUGGUAAUGGGCAGGUUUCAGAACAGAUCUUUGAAAAUCCUCCCCCAGUUGAAUGUCUUAGUAAUGUUCUGGUGGCUCCUGAGAGCCCUAAACGCAGAUUUUAUCUGCCCUGUGACUGCCGAAUCGUACUGUGUUCUUUUACUUACCCCCGAGUGCUUCCAGAGCAGACUGGCUGGGGGGACGCACAACAGCACAUUUGCACCCCAAAAAUCAUCAGGUGGUUGCUUAAGUCCUUCAGAGGAGGGGUAAGUGACCUGGGAAGAGAAAGCUGGGGAGAAUCUCAACAGAUUUCAGUUCCCUGGUUUUGGCCUGGCACUGCCAUGUGCCUCCUGCAGUGCCUGAUCUGUAAAGGUGGUGCCUGAGCUCAGGGGGUAAUGAAGAUUUAUGGCUAAAAUUCUCCCCCUUCAGCCCUUGAACAAGCAAAGCCUUGGCUCCACAUUUCCUCCCAGGCCCAUCAAGCUCAACGAUGUGUGACUAACUCUUUCAUUGACCAAAGCCCAACCACUUCCCUCACGUGACUUUACAUAACUGCUCAUCUAUUUCGUUAAUGAAUGGAGCUUGAGAAAAUUUCCAUUGCCCAAGGCCCUUAGGGGAAAAUGCGUGAGCACCGUCUCCACCUUUUGUCUGCCGAUGUGGGAUUUUCCUAUGGAUUAACUGAGUACAGCGGUAUUAUUUUUUGGUUGUUGUCAUUGUUGCCUGAAAUGGUAAGCUAACAUCUGGGUGCCACGGAGAUGGGGAAAAAAAAUACACCCAAAAAAAGAGUCCCUGACAAAAAAUACACCCAAAAAAAGAGGGCCAAAGGAAAUGGGAGACUCCCUCUGCAAGGAGCAACAGGGAUAACACCACCGUGGCCAGGGAUUGCACCUAUUCCCAAGCAAGAGCUGCUGUGUUUGCCCAGCCUUGCGCUGAGCCAAAACACCUCCCAGCAUCUCUUCCCUCCCCGCCACAGACCCUGCAGUGCCAACCUGAUGGUGUCCUGGGACCAGACCCGGUCCUGGGGCUGGGAAGCAGCUCUCUGCCCUGCCACAGCGAGGACGGAGCAGGCUGAUGCUGGGCAGUGGUAGAGGGGGCUGACAGGUACCUGUUGGCUAUAUCAGCAUGUCAAAAGCACACACACCAGCAUUUCCAGCAAGUCAGAGCUGGAGGGAAGAUGCGAAUACCCCAGUAUUUCUAAAAUCCCAUAAUGAUGCUGCAAUUUUUCCCAUUUUAACCCCUUCACUGUGAUGAAAUGACUUUUAUGGUAAAAGUCCUUCUGCCAGUGGAAGGCUGGGGAGGGGGGAGCUCUACAUCUCCCAAAGCAACGUCAUACAAAGGUGUUUGUAAGUGCUAGAGACAUGUGAUUUUCAAAAAAGCAACUCAUGCUGUUCUCGGAGGAUGUACUUUGGAACUGAGGCAUUUGUUGGGUGCGCAAUGUGGGCUCCCCAUGGCAUGAGCUACAAACCUCAUGGUUUAGGAAUGCUGCUGAUGCUAACAGGAUAGCUGGGUCGAACUGGCCAUGACUGGAGUACCAUGAAGGAUGGAGGUGGCAGUACUAAGAUGCUGGAGGAUGUUCCUUUCUCUUUCCAUCUGGGGAGGGGCGGGGGGGGGAAUGCAAAUGCAGCCCUAGCCUCUGUAAUGCCUGGUCCACGUGCAACUAUGAGUAAAUAUUUAACUGCAGGAAGAACAUUCCCUUCCAGAGAUCGAAGCAGCCAAGUUAAUCAGUUCCAGACUAUAUUCAAGUCAUGGGUGUCAAGAGGACAAUACAAGUUCAAAACCCUGAGGAUGUUCAAAGUCUUCUACUAUGCCUGGGCAGUUGCCAUGUCUCCCCUGGGAUGCUAAAUAGGAAGAUCUUUUCACCUGCUGAGAAAGCAGGAUGAUUAACUCACUGAAGGACAUGCUUCACGGAGAGGGGGAAGGGCUGGAGAUGUGGCAAAGGGAGUUUGAAGAUCCUCCUGUUGAAUCCAGGUGGUGCUUCAGAAGCUUGGGAGCAGAGGCUGCCGCAGUAGCUGGGCUGGGCUGGGAAAGCCCUUGGGCGGGUCUGGAGAUGUUUCCUGGCCUGGCAGCACACUGGAUGUUCACCUGCAGGGCU